rnacentral:misc_RNA from 1 species
AUGCGAUAAGUAGUGUGAAUUGCAGAAUUCAGUGAAUCAUCGAAUCUUUGAACGCACAUUGCGCCCCUUGGUAUUCCAUGGGGCAUGCCUGUUCGAGCGUCAUUUACACCCUCAAGCUUUGCUUGGUGUUGGGCGUCUGUCUAUGGACUCGCCCCAAAGGUAUUGGCAGCGGUCCUGCCGGGCCUUCCUAAUUGCGCAGCACUGUUCGCGCUACUUGGAGCCUGUUUUGCAGGAUUCAGCAUCCAUCAAGCCCUCUUUUUUUUAACUUGACCUCGAAUCAGGUAGGGAUACCCGCUGAACUUAA